rnacentral:rRNA from 1 species
GGAGUAUGGACCGUGUCUCAGUUCCAUUGUGGGGGACCUUCCUCUCAGAACCCCUACCCAUCGUCGCCUCGGUGGGCCGUUACCCCGCCGACUGCCUAAUCAGACGCAUCCCCAUCCAUGAGCGAUGAAUCUUUCGUGACAUAAAGAUGCCGAAAUGCCACAUAUAGUGAAUUAAUCCGACUUUCGCCGGGCUAUGCACUACUCAUGGGAAGGUUGGAUACGCGUUACUCACCCGUGCGCCGGUCGUCAGCACAACAGUGCAAGCACUGAUGCCCGUUACCCCUCGACUUGCAUGUGUUAAGCCUGUAGCUAGCGUUCAUC